rfam:Aspergillus cristatus strain GZAAS20.1005 Scaffold_Scf_16, whole genome shotgun sequence.
GGCCGCUUAGCUCAAUGGUAGAGUGUUGCUCUCCUACGUUUGGAUCCAAGCAAUGGUUGCGGGUUCGACCCCCGUGGUGGUCG